GAUGAAGAACGUAGCUAAAUGCGAUAAGUAGUGUGAAUUGCAGAAUUCAGUGAAUCAUCGAAUCUUUGAACGCACAUUGCGCCUUCUAGUAUUCUGGGAGGCAUGCCUGUUUGAGCGUCAUUAAACCUCUCUCAAGUAUGAUUACUUGGAUGUGAAGGAAGAGUACCUUAAACUUAAGGAGUGUUCUCCUUUGAAAUUGAUUAGCAGAUGGUAAUGUUAUUAAAUCCCUGAUGUUGUAAGAAAUAACAGUGGUUUUGUAGACUAUUAUCUAGCUUUAAAUUAUAAUUUUUAUUAUGGUUGACCUCAAAUCAGGUAAGGAUACCCGCUGAACUUAAGCAUAUCAAUAAGCGGAGGA
rnacentral:misc_RNA from 1 species